UUUUUUUUUUUUAAUAAUUAUUCAGUUUAUUGCACAAUUGGUUGUUAACAAAUACCCUAAAAGGUACAACUAUCUCAAAUAGGUUUAUCCCUGUGUGUGAAUUAUCAAAUGAACCAGGGGAUUCACAAGAUAAACUUAUUAUAAGUUUCAAAAGUGGUUAAUAGAAUAUUACAAUCGAUAUAGUUUACAAAAUCUGCAUAGCGACAAAUCCGGAAAACAUACGUUCUCUCUGUUUACGUUUUUCUACUUAUUUUAAUUGUAUAUCACGUGGUAUAGAUGUUUAUUAUGUAUCUCGAACACAUGUAUUUUAUUCAUUCUUGUGUGUUGGAAUAUUCUUAACUUAUUUGAUGACUUGUAUUUACAAUACAUUACAGUUAUGACCCUUACUUCAGAUUUGAAGAUAUCCCAAAUAUCUCUAGAAUCUCUGGUAUUUUAGAGUGGCAAUCACCAUGGAUGUGGAAGUAGCUUGUACAAAAUAUACAUGAACUAUAUAGAAAGAACUAAUUUUCAGUUUUUGGGUACCUAAAACAAUAGAGGUG